rnacentral:piRNA from 1 species
UGUCACUGGUAGGGCCUGCAAGGUACA